rnacentral:rRNA from 1 species
UACAUGGGGUGCAAACGUUGCUCGGAAUUAUUGGGCGUAAAGCGCACGUAGGCGGUUUGUUAAGUCGGAUGUGAAAUCCCUCGGCUCAACUGAGGAAGUGCACCCGAAACUGGCAGGCUUGAGUACUAAAGAGGGUCGCGGAAUUCCCGGUGUAGAGGUGAAAUUCGUAGAUAUCGGGAGGAACACCGGUGGCGAAGGCGGCAUCCUGGACCAACACUGACGCUGAGUGAGCGAAAGCCAGGGGAGCAAACGGG